GCGGCGUGCUUCAUGCAUGCAAGUCGAACGAGAAGCAGGAGCUUGCUCCUGUGGAAAGUGGCGGACGGGUGAGUAACACGUAGGAAAUCUGCCUUUGGGUGGGGGACAACAGUUGGAAACGACUGCUAAUACCCCAUAUGAGCUUGAUUGCAAUACCAAUCUUGAAAACUCCGGUGCCUAAAGAUGAGCCUGCGUCUGAUUAGCUUGUUGGCGGGGUAAUGGCCCACCAAGGCGACGAUCAGUAGCUGGUUUGAGAGGAUGAUCAGCCACAAUGGGACUGAGACACGGCCCAUACUCCUACGGGAGGCAGCAGUAGGGAAUUUUGCGCAAUGGGGGAAACCCUGACGCAGCAACGCCGCGUGAAUGACGAAGCCCUUCGGGGUGUAAAGUUCUGUCAGUAGGGAAGAAUUUUGACUGUACCUACAAAGGGAGCACCGGCUAACUCCGUGCCAGCCGCCGCCGUAA
rnacentral:rRNA from 1 species